CUUCUUUAUUUCUUUUUUUUAAUUUUACCCUCUAAGACUUGGACAGAAAAGCUCUUCUUAAAGAUAGCGCUCAUAACCUGUCUCUAAGCUCUGGGUGACUGCUGAUACGCCUUUGUCAGCAGUUUCAAUAGUCUUUCCUUUAAGGAGAAAUCUGGCUGUAUUACUCAUAAUUUGGAAGGAGUUUCACAUUCUGCUCCCCGCUGAAGCUGUCCCAGUGUUUGCUGACUUGCUGAGAGGAUUGACUGUUUCAAACUCUGUUGAGAAGAAAGCAAGAUUAAUCUUCCCGUUUGUUGCCCACCCUCCUCCAAACCAGUCUGGAGGAGUUUUAUGCAUAUGCAUUUUUAAAGAGUUGAGGGUAUAUACUUAAAAGGAACAUUUCCAAAUUAGCUUCUCUGGACAGGGAACAAUUAAAACUGGAGUAAUUCAUUUAUUCUAAUGGAGGCUCUGCAUAUUUUAACAUUAAACCCUGAAUCACUAAUGUUCUCCCUGCAAAUGGUCCGAGGUAAUUGGGAAGGUUUUGCCACUCCAUUAGAAGUGCUAAAAACUGUGUGACAGAGACAAAACUGUUCUGUCCUGAAGGCUGGAAUAUUUGGUUGGGAAUAUAAAGAAGCAAAAAUCAAGUGGAUUCAGAAUGAUGGGAGAGUGAAACGGUAGAAAUGGCCUUUUGUGCAGAUUCCUGACACAGUAGGACAUCCAGUAUCUUCCUUUUGCAGCCCAUUGCUAUACCCAUACCCUGCAGAGAAAGACUCUUAGACCAAAGAGGGUCUCACUGUGCUACUUGGGCUCAUGUGCAGUGCUGUCAUCAUAGUUCACUGCAGCUUUGAACUCCUGGCUCCAGUGAUCCUCCUGUCUCAGCCUCCCAAGUGACCAGACAACAGAGUCUCCAUUUGUCACUGUUGGAAGAGUGCUGUGCCAUCAUAGCUCACAGCAACCUCAAACUCCGGGGCUCAAGCAAUUCUCUUGCCUCAGCCUCCUGAGUGAUACCCUGAAGUUUUUCAAAGAAGCGGAGGAGACAUGAUGGCUGACUGAAGCCAGCUUUCCACGGAGGCUCCCAUCCAGUAGGAGAAUUAAAGGACAAAAAUUCAGAAAGUAACCUGGUGGAUUUGAGCUGCACUAAGAGAGAAGGUUGAAGAACGCAUGUCAACCCCGCUGAGAAGCUGCUGCAAAAAAGCCCAGUGAACACUAUGACUCACGGCACUGUGAUUCAUCACCCUGUUCAACACCACUCUCGGUUGCAUGCAUUUUCACUGCUGAAAUGGAGGCAGAGGAGAUCAAGGAGAAUGCACAAGUUGGUUGUGGAGGGGUAGAAUUAUCUUUUUGAGCAUCAGAUUUACAAACUUUAGUUCUGCACAUUGCUCAUAUGAUCUUAGAUAAUGGAAGGAAGGCAAUAAAAUAAAAAGGAAUAAAGUGACACUU